rnacentral:rRNA from 1 species
UACGUAGGGGGCUAGCGUUGUCCGGAAUCAUUGGGCGUAAAGAGCGUGUAGGCGGCCCGGUAAGUCCGCUGUAAAAGUCAAAGGCUCAACCUUUGAAUGUCAGUGGAUACUGCCGGGCUAGAGUCCGGAAGAGGCGAGUGGAACUCCUGGUGUAGCGGUGGAAUGCGCAGAUAUCAGGAGGAACACCAGCGGCGAAGGCGGCGCUCUGGGCCGGUACUGACACUGAGGAGCGAAAGCGUGGGUAGCAAACAGG